AAAGGAAGCGAUUCCGGCUACGGAUGGUCAUGCGUCGCAUUAGCUAGUUGGCGGGGUAACGGCCCACCAAGGCGACGAUGCGUAGGGGUUCUGAGAGGAAGGUCCCCCACACUGGUACUGAGACACGGACCAGACUCCUACGGGAGGCAGCAGUGAGGAAUAUUGGUCAAUGGCCGCAGGGCUGAACCAGCCAAGUCGCGUGAGGGAUGACGGUCCUAUGGAUUGUAAACCUCUUUUGUCAGGGAGCAAAGGGCGCCACGUGUGGCGCUUUGCGAGUACCUGAAGAAAAAGCAUCGGCUAACUCCGUGCCAGCAGCCGCGGUAAUACGGAGGAUGCGAGCGUUAUCCGGAUUUAUUGGGUUUAAAGGGUGCGCAGGCGGAAUGUCAAGUCAGCGGUAAAAUUUCGGGGCUCAACCCCGUCGUGCCGUUGAAACUGGCGUUCUUGAGCGAGCGAGAAGUAUGCGGAAUGCGUGGUGUAGCGGUGAAAUGCAUAGAUAUCACGCAGAACUCCGAUUGCGAAGGCAGCAUACCGGCGCUCAACUGACGCUCAUGCACGAAAGCGUGGGUAUCGAACAGGAUUAGAUACCCUGGUAGUCCACGCAGUAAACGAUGAAUACUAACUGUCCGGGCAGAAUGAUGCCUGG
rnacentral:rRNA from 1 species